rnacentral:rRNA from 1 species
UGCCAGCCGCCGCGGUAAUACGGAGGAUGCAAGCGUUAUCCGGAUUUAUUGGGUUUAAAGGGUACGUGGGCGGAAACUUAAGUCAGUAGUGAAAUCCUGCAGCUUAACUGUAGCAUUGCCUUUGAUACUGCCAGACUUGAGUUAUUGUGAAGUAGUUAGAAUGUGUAGUGUAGCGGUGAAAUGCAUAGAUAUUACACAGAAUACCGAUUGCGAAGGCAGUUCACUGGACCGUGAUCGACGCUGAGGAGCGAAAGCUAGGGGAGCAAACAGGAUUAGAUA